rnacentral:rRNA from 1 species
CCUACGGGCGGCAGCAGUGAGGAAUAUUGGUCAAUGGACGAGAGUCUGAACCAGCCAAGUAGCGUGAAGGAUGACUGCCCUAUGGGUUGUAAACUUCUUUUAUAUGGGAAUAAAAUGUUCCACGUGUGGGAUUUUGUAUGUACCAUAUGAAUAAGGAUCGGCUAACUCCGUGCCAGCAGCCGCGGUAAUACGGAGGAUCCGAGCGUUAUCCGGAUUUAUUGGGUUUAAAGGGAGCGUAGGUGGAUUGUUAAGUCAGUUGUGAAAGUUUGCGGCUCAACCGUAAAAUUGCAUUUGAAACUGGCAGUCUUGAGUACAGUAGAGGUGGGCGGAAUUCGUGGUGUAGCGGUGAAAUGCUUAGAUAUCACGAAGAACUCCGAUUGCGAAGGCAGUUCACUGGACUGCAACUGACACUGAGGCUCGAAAGUGUGGGUAUCAAACAGGAUUAGAUACCCCAGUAGUC